rnacentral:rRNA from 1 species
AUUGAACGCUGGCGGAAUGCUUUACACAUGCAAGUCGAACGGUAGAGGGGGCAACCCCUUGAGAGUGGCGAACGGGUGAGUAAUAUAUCGGAACGUGCCCAGUCGUGGGGAUAACGUAGCGAAAGUUACGCUAAUACCGCAUACGAUCUAAGGAUGAAAGCGGGGGAUCGCAAGACCUCGCGCGAUUGGAGCGGCCGAUAUCAGAUUAGGUAGUUGGUGAGGUAAAGGCUCACCAAGCCAACGAUCUGUAGCUGGUCUGAGAGGACGACCAGCCACACUGGAACUGAGACACGGUCCAGACUCCUACGGGAGGCAGCAGUGGGGAAUUUUGGACAAUGGACGCAAGUCUGAUCCAGCCAUUCCGCGUGCAGGAUGAAGGCCCUCGGGUUGUAAACUGCUUUUGUACGGAACGAAAAGGUUUCUAUUAAUACUAGGAGCUCAUGACGGUACCGUAAGAAUAAGCACCGGCUAACUACGUGCCAGCAGCCGCG